rnacentral:rRNA from 1 species
GUCAAGCGACUCGGCGUCGAUAAUAAUCGGGCAUAAGUCCGGUGCCGAAGCUGUGGGAAUGAAAAUUCGGUAGGGGAGCAUUCCAGCCUGCGUAGAAGGUGCCACCGUGAGGGGUGCUGGAGCGGCUGGAAGCGAAACUGUAGGCAUGAGUAACGAUAAGAAGGGUGAAAAACCCUUCCACCGCAAACCCAAGGGUUCCUGAUCAACGCUAAUCGGAUCAGGGUUAGUCGAGACCUAAGGUGUACCC